rnacentral:rRNA from 1 species
CGCGUAGGCGGUUUUUUAAGUCGGAUGUGAAAGCCCCGGGCUUAACCUGGGAACUGCAUUCGAUACUGGGAGACUAGAGUACGAGAGAGGGAGGUAGAAUUCCACGUGUAGCGGUGAAAUGCGUAGAUAUGUGGAGGAAUACCGGUGGCGAAGGCGGCCUCCUGGCUCGAUACUGACGCUCAGGUGCGAAAGCGUGGGGAGCAAACA